GGCCACAUUGGAACCGAGAGACGGUCCAAACUCCUACGGGAGGCAGCAGUGGGGAAUAUUGGGCAAUGGGCGAAAGCCUGACCCAGCAACGCCGCGUGAGUGAAGAAGGCCUUCGGGUUGUAAAGCUCUGUUAUAGGGGACGAAGGAAGUGACGGUACCCUAUAAGGAAGCCCCGGCUAACUACGUGCCAGCAGCCGCGGUAAUACGUAGGGGGCGAGCGUUGUCCGGAAUGACUGGGCGUAAAGGGCGUGUAGGCGGUUUUUUAAGUCUGGAGUGAAAGUCCUGCAUUCAAUGUGGGAAUUGCUUUGGAUACUGGAAGACUUGAGUGCGGAAGAGGUAAGUGGAAUUCCCAGUGUAGCGGUGAAAUGCGUAGAGAUUGGGAGGAACACCAGUGGCGAAGCGACUUACUGGGCCGUAACUGACGCUGAGGCGCGAAAGCGUGGGGAGCGAACAGGAUUAGAUACCCUGGUAGUCCACGCGGUAAACGAUGAAUGUUAGGUGUUGCGGGUAUCGACCCCUGCAGUGCCGGAGUAAACACAAUAAACAUUCCGCCUGGGGAGUACGGCCGCAAGGUUGAAACUCAAAGGAAUUGACGGGGGCCCGCACAAGCAGCGGAGCAUGUUGUUUAAUUCGAAGCAACGCGAAGAACCUUACCAGGUCUUGACAUCCGAUUAAAGCCGUAGAGAUACGGUGUGACUUCGGUCGAAUCGAGACAGGUGGUGCAUGGUUGUCGUCAGCUCGUGUCGUGAGAUGUUGGGUUAAGUCCCGCAACGAGCGCAACCCUUAUGGUCAGUUACUAACGCGUAGCGGCGAGGACUCUGACAAGACUGCCGGGGACAACUCGGAGGAAGGUGGGGACGACGUCAAAUCAUCAUGCCCCUUAUGACCUGGGCUACAAACGUGCUACAAUGGUGACCACAAAGAGGAGCGAGACCGUAAGGUGGAGCGGAUCUCAAAAAAGUCAUCCCAGUUCGGAUUGUGGGCUGCAACCCGCCCACAUGAAGUUGGAGUUGCUAGUAAUCGCGAAUCAGCAUGUCGCGGUGAAUACGUUCCCGGGCCUUGUACACACCGCCCGUCACACCAUGGGAGUUGGGAGCACCC
rnacentral:rRNA from 1 species